rnacentral:rRNA from 1 species
CACGUAGGGCGCAAGCGUUGUCCGGAAUUAUUGGGCGUAAAGAGCUCGUAGGCGGUCUGUUGCGUCCGCUGUGAAAACCCGGGGCUUAACCCCUGGCUUGCAGUGGAUACGGACAGACUAGAGGUAGGUAGGGGAGAAUGGAAUUCCCGGUGUAGCGGUGAAAUGCGCAGAUAUCGGGAGGAACACCAGCGGCGAAGGCGCUGCUCUGGGCCGGUACUGACGCUGAGGAGCGAAAGCGUGGGGAGCGAACAGG